rnacentral:rRNA from 1 species
AGUGAACGCUGGCGGUAGGCCUAACACAUGCAAGUCGAACGGCAGCACAGUAAGAGCUUGCUCUUACGGGUGGCGGGUGGCGGACGGGUGAGGAAUACAUCGGAAUCUACUUUUUCGUGGGGGAUAAUGUAGGGAAACUUACGCUAAUACCGCAUACGACCUACGGGUGAAAGCAGGGGAUCUUCGGACCUUGCGCGAUUGAAUGAGCCGAUGUCGGAUUAGCUAGUUGGCGGGGUAAAGGCCCACCAAGGCGACGAUCCGUAGCUGGUCUGAGAGGAUGAUCAGCCACACUGGAACUGAGACACGGUCCAGACUCCUACGGGAGGCAGCAGUGGGGAAUAUUGGACAAUGGGCGCAAGCCUGAUCCAGCCAUACCGCGUGGGUGAAGAAGGCCUUCGGGUUGUAAAGCCCUUUUGUUGGGAAAGAAAAGCAGCAGGUUAAUACCCCGCUGUUCUGACGGUACCCAAAGAAUAAGCACCGGCUAACUUCGUG